GAAUGACCCUUCCUUAUAGAUGUAUUUACGUCAAAACAUAUUCCUUGUUCAGAUUAUAAUUACCAUGGUUACUGCAGUGUUUUCACACGGUCAGUACAGCCCGCUAGAUAACAAAUGUCAAUUAUUUCAGUUCUUAGCUACUGCGACAAUGGAUAUCAGCCAAAUGUUGUUUCGAAAGGCAAAUAGGUGUAGAGUAUGCAGGUCUUUUUGGACUGGUGAUGAGCACGUCUCAAGCAACGUCACCGAUUACAGUCGACAGCACAAAACAGAAAGUCGAGGACAAACAUCGAUGUACUGAGCGGGAUUUGAGAACGCGAUCCCAACAUCAAGAGGCCACCGACAUCGGCUAUACCUGACGUAAAUGUUGAAUCCGCGUAUUUAUCUCACUGGGUCCCAUGGAGAUUCUGAAACUAAGAGCGUCAGAGGUACAGCCGCUCCUGUGUUGACUUACCAGGUUUCCAAUCCGUACUUCUUUUCUCUCUAAUUAACGUCUGACACUGCAGCGAGGUUUAAGGUAAGCAGAACAUCAAACCCUCCCGCUCACUACAUUAGAUCCACAUCAUCAUCAAAGGUUCAAAAAUUCACUGGAAAUUACAGAGAUCAAGAGAAGAACACGGUAAACUAGAUACAAGUUAUUCAGACACGUGUUUCUUUCAGCUGGCCUAUUUAGUGCCUCUGCAAACCACAAAAACUACGAGAUCAAUUUAGAAGCCUACAUUUCGCUCUUCGUUAUGGAAGGGCAUGAUAGGCCUAUGACUCCGUUCUACGACACCGAAAACAUCGGUUCCAAACAGUUCACUGUGACAAUAGAAAUGAUUACGAAAUAGCCUCUUGAAAAGAGUAGUUUGACAAUUCGAGGCAAAGGAUAAUAUUAAAAUGGGUAACAUAAAUGUGCCUUGACGAAUGUUCUGGUUUGAUCUUAAUAUACAUUAAGUAAAUAUUCUGUAACGGUGAACAGAUGGAACACAAAAAGUCUUCAAUCUACUUCUGGCUUACAGAAUUACUGUAUUUCUGUCGGCAAACUGUGGCGCGCGGCUGGACUACUAGCCCUGCGAGUCAUGUGGAAGCCGAAGACGGCUGUGGUAGCAAAGGUGUUAAAGAGUAAGAAACGGAUAUGAGCAAUAAUGUGUUCAGAGUGGGCGGAUAACGAGGACUUAGUGUAAUUAGACCCAGCAGGUCACGUUAGGAAAAACAGACCAAAUUUAGGCGCUCAUUUAGAUUUAUCAACAUUUGUAGUUGGCUAAUACUGGAAACAGAGUGAAUACUGAACUACUGUAUUUUCUCUGUGAAUGCAUUCAAAACUUUCAAUGAUAUUUUAAUCCUGUAUUACCUACGUUGCUUAACUUCUUAAAUUUCACUCACAUCAACAGAGUCAAACGUUCAUUUGCAAUCACUGCAUGAAAUGGGAAGCAGCAGUCAGUGGGCGAACUUUCUCUGACUACAACGUCUUUCGUAACACAAAUUAAGUUAUCACGUAACUAGCCUUCGUUCGGGCAGUCAGUGGCACGUAAAAUAUUUAAUUUUACAAACACGAACAUGGACACCUUUCUGUGUUCUCGCGAACAGUACAAGAUAGAACAGGACUGCAGAAGAAGAAGAUCAUGUAAUUUAGCACCGUACUAUGAAGUCCCACCAAGAUACAAGGACGUAUUUCUUUCUUCCUUAGACACAGUAGCCUUUCUUAUGUUCAGUUUUAUUACCCCGAGCACGAGAACAGGAGAGCGGCAUUUGUGGUCCUCAUCCGAUGUAGUAGCAGCCAACCACGAGAUCGGAAGCUGAUGCAGAAUUGUCAACUAAGUCUUGGAAUGAGAAAGCCAGUUUAAAUAUCGGCAUGAAUUAAUGACUGGGGCAUGAAGAACGACUGUCAUGAGCCGAUGUUUCGCUGUCGUAACAUCAAAAGACGGCCCGCUACUUUGCCGACUGAGAGAGAGAACUUCGGCGAAGCGUCAGAAUGAUAUCUUAUUCCUAUUGGCUAACUCAUCAGAAUUUGUUUAUUAUCAAGAAAAUACAACAAAUGUGCAAUAAAUGUUAUCGAAGAGGCAA